ensembl:lncRNA
GGGCUGGGGGAAGAGAUGGAUGUUUAUUUAAUGCAGAAAAACAAAAAAAAAAGCAAUAAAAAAUUCCAAAAAAAAAAAGCUUAAAAAUAAUAAUAAAAAAAAAAAAAAAGAAAACAAAGAAGUCUUAGCACUUUGCGAUGGAACGGGUACUUUGAGCUCACUUUAUCUUAAUUUAAAAAAAAAGCAAGAUUCAAGAUGUUUACAAGUCAAAAAAAAACUUUAAAAAAAAAGACUUCUACGGAGAAAAAAAAAUAUUAUUAAAAAAAGCCUAAAUUUAUUUUUGUAAGAAAAAAAAAUGUGUAUAUAUAUAUAUAUAUUUAACAAAAAAACCUAGAAAAAAAUACAAAUAUAGGCAGAAUCCAAGUGAGAUUGGAGGAUGGGAGGAAGAUGCUAAUUAGGUUCUGUGACAUGCCCUGACCCUCGGGAAUUUUAAAUAGAAAAUAAAAUCCAUGGAAGCUUGAAUUUUAGGCAGGAAUCCUGGGGGUUGUGGCUCGCUCACUGCUCCCCACAGCCUCGAGGAGGUUGUUUGUUUGUUUGGGUUUUUUGGGGUUUUUUUUUAAAUUCUUUUUUUGUAGAAAUAAUUUUAUUUUUUUUCGAUGUUAUUUUUAGCCAGUGCCAGCGCAGAGGUGUCGGGAUCCCUGUGGGCUUGGAAAAAUCCCACCUGGAGCAGGGAGAUUGGGAUGUCAGCUGGGAAAUUGGGAUUUGGGCAGGGAGAUUGGGAUGUCAGCUGGGAAAUUGGGAUUUGGGCAGGGAAAUUGGGAUAUCAGCUGGGAAAUUGGGAUAUAAGCUAGGAAAUUGGGAUCCAGGCAGGGAAUUGGGAUCCAGGCAGGGAAAUUGGGAUCCAAGCAGGGAAUUGGGAUCUAGAUUGAGAAAUUGGGAUCCGGCCAGGGAAUUGGGAUCUGGGCAGGGAAUCCCCCUGGGAAGAGCUGGAGGGACCCAGGUCCAGGCUGCCUUUGGGGUUUUCCCCCCCCUGGGUUUGGAUCUCUCCAGGGAUGUGGCAGGGAUUUCCUGGGAAGGAGCUGGAGGGAUCCCAGAGCCCCGGGAUUUGUGUCCCUCCCGUUCCCCCUUUGGGCAGGAACAUCGGGAUCCCCGUGGAUCCCCAUCCCUCCCUGAGCAGGGUUUGGGAUCUGGGAGUGGAUCCCCCCCGGGCAGGGGCCGAUCCCAGCUGGAAUCUCCCCUCUGGCAGCACCGGCUGAGGUUUUUUGGGAAUAUGCAGAGAAAAUUCCGUGUGGAUUUGGGAACAGAGGCUCUGGAGGUUCCCCUUGUGCUCGGGGUUCUGGUGGCUCCUCUCCUCCUGAUUUUGGGGUUUUUUUUUCCCCCCUGGGAUUUUUCCACCCUCGCUGCUGCUUUUCCUUCCCCAAUCCCAAUCCCAAAGGAAUUUUGGGGGCUCUGGGAGGGGGUGAAGGGGGUGGGAGCUUCCAGGUGUGCAGAGAAAGGGGGGAAAAGGGGAAGGAAAAAAAGGGGGGAUUGAUAAAUUAAAAAAAGGAAAAAGGGGGAAAAGGAAAUAGGAGGGGAGAAAUAAAAGAGGGAAAUAAGGGAAGGAAAGGGGGAGA